rnacentral:rRNA from 1 species
UACGAAGGGGCUAGCGUUGCUCGGAAUGACUGGGCGUAAAGGGCGCGUAGGCGGCUUGCACAGUCAGGCGUGAAAUUCCUGGGCUCAACCUGGGGACUGCGCUUGAGACGUGUGGGCUUGAGUGGGGAAGAGGGUCGUGGAAUUCCCAGUGUAGAGGUGAAAUUCGGUAGAUAUUGGGAAGAACACCGGUGGCGGAAGGCGGCGACCUGGUCCUUGACUGACGGCUGAGGCGCGAAAGCGUGGGGAGCAAACAGG